AAGACUCCAGAGGGAAAAAAAAAACUCCAAAGACUCCAGAAAAAGGACCCCAGGAGCUAGGCUAUUGUCUCGAAUGCCUGACGAAAAUACAACAUUUCCACCUUCAGAUUAGUGCCUGUGGGGAAAGCGCCUGAAGAAUUCAGAAUAAAUGCGUCCUCGGGGAAAAAGACGCGUCCCAGCAGCCGAAGAUCGGUGACGAGACUAGUCCCGGAAAGCACAAAUACUGAUACAUGUGGACAUAAUUUUCUGUUUGAUAAGAGAUGGAGAAAUGGAAUGUUUUCCAAGAAUAAUUUCAAAGAUGGCGAACCCGUCAAACCCACAUCUAUUUUGCCUCCGGUUUCUCUGGAUUUCCAAAAUCAUCAAUCACACAUUUUAAACAAGUUAUUGAAUCAGAAGCAACUAUUUUAUGGAAUUACAAAGCCCUGUAGUUUUGGGUCCUAUGAGGAAUAUGGUCUAGUGUCAGUCCCAUCAGUUAAGUUAUCAGUUACCACCCCACCUAUCAGUGGAAGGAACAAUGUUACUGGAGGUUUCAAAAACAGACCAAGGGUAAAUAAAAGAGGAUGUAAUCACUUCACCGCUGGAUUUAACACCUCAAACCAGUCCUACCCUGAUCCUGUCCCAGGGGCUCCAGCACUAUUCCUCCAGAGGCUUCUGGAGAUCUCCUCUCUGGAAGGGGAAACGGUGCACGAGGAGAAGAGUAAAAAUCCUAAAAAGAGCCACAGGCAGGAGUCCUGACGAAAAACUACUGCUCACAGAGAAAAAGAGCUUAUUGUACAGUGCCAAAGAGAUGGCAACAAAGAGGCAAGGAAAAACAUAAUGUAGU